AGAGUUUGAUCCUGGCUCAGGAUGAACGCUAGCGACAGGCUUAACACAUGCAAGUCGAGGGGCAGCAUAAAAGUAGCAAUACUUUGGUGGCGACCGGCGCACGGGUGAGUAACGCGUAUGCAACCUACCUAUCAGAGGGGAAUAACCCGGCGAAAGUCGGACUAAUACCGCAUAAAACAGGGGCACCGCAUGGUGAUAUUUGUUAAAGAAAUUCGCUGAUAGAUGGGCAUGCGUUCCAUUAGGUUGUUGGUGAGGUAACGGCUCACCAAGCCGACGAUGGAUAGGGGAACUGAGAGGUUGGUCCCCCACACUGGUACUGAGACACGGACCAGACUCCUACGGGAGGCAGCAGUGAGGAAUAUUGGACAAUGGGUGAGAGCCUGAUCCAGCCAUCCCGCGUGAAGGACUAAGGCCCUAUGGGUUGUAAACUUCUUUUAUACUGGGAUAAACCUACUUACGUGUAAGUAGCUGAAGGUACAGUAUGAAUAAGCACCGGCUAACUACGUGCCAGCAGCCGCGGUAAUA
rnacentral:rRNA from 1 species